rnacentral:lncRNA from 1 species
ACAGAGGAGAGAGGGAGGAAGGGAGAGAAGGGGCUGGCCCCAGCACCAGCCAGUGUGGGAAUGACUGAUCCCAGGAGCAGGAAGGUCACACAGGAAGUGGCCUUGAGGUGGCGCCGGAGGCAGGAGGGGAGUGGAGGGUGGCGUUUCCACGGCACAGCGGUCAUGGGACAAAGUUGGACGGAAAUUGCACUUGAGGAUGCUCCCUGGCCAAGGCCAAGUCGCCUGGGGAGGAAGGACAGACUUCCUGGAUGGACACUGGGACGCCGAGCCCUGGGGAGGAGGGCAAGGGUGGAGGCUGUGGUGUUGCUGGGGCCGUGGGGUCUCUCCAGGCCGUGGGCCAGGACCUCUGACAAAGCCCGAACAGAGCAUGGUGUCAGGAGCGCGUGCUGGAUGGGGAAGCAGAGGGAUGUGGAAGCCCUGGCUGGGUGAAGGCUGUGGUGUCUGCCCGCCCCACGGCCCACAGAGUCACCGAUUACGGGAACAUCCAACGUACCAUCCUGAGCUUGUGGGGCCUAAGGGCCCGUUUCCACCACCUGCUGUGUGAUCUUGGGCUACCUACAUCGCCUCUCUGAGUCUUGUUUUCCUCAUUUGCAACUGAAGAUAAUAAUAGUAUCUAAAUCAAUUAUGAGGAUGAAAUGAGUUAACUCAUGUAAAGUGCUUAGCACAGAGUAAGUACUAAAUGAAGAUUGCUACUGCAAGACUGGGCGGGUGGAUAAUUCAUGCUUUUGCUCCAAGGUGAGGUUGCCCUGUCUGCCAAUCUAUCAGAGCUAGGGAAGUGGGAGGCUUUCCCCUGUGGGAUGUAGACUGGAGGGGGCCAACAGCUCUCACUGAGCAUGGAGGCAUAGCUGCAGUGCUCUGGGUUGGCAAGGGAGGGAAGGUGAGACCUGCAGUCGCCCUUCCUCAUCCAGGUCUGCCCCUUCAAUCCUUCAUCUCCUCCUUGGCAGAUCCCUUAUAUCCUCCACAAAUGGGUCACUCUUGCCAGGGGACAAGCUCCCUGGGGACACAUCUUACCACCGUAAAGCUGUAGCAUUAUAAGAACACAAAAAGGCAGGCCAGCCUGACCAACAUGGAGAAGCCCUGCCUCUACUAAAAAUACAAAAUUAGCCAGGCUUGGUGGCGUAUGCCUGUAAUCCCAGCUACUCGGGAGGCCGAGGCAGGAGAAUUGCUUGAACCCGGGAGGCGGAAGUUGCGGUGAGCCAAGAUCACGCCAUUGCACUCCAGCCGGGGCAAUGAGCGAAACUCCGUCUCAAAAAAAAAGAAAAAUAAAAAAGCAACUUAAAACCCUAUCUGGCCUCUUUGCUGUCUUAAAAAACACAAACAUCAUGAAUGGGGCUAAGCAUCUGGUCCGGUGUC